rnacentral:rRNA from 1 species
GACAAACGCUGGCGGCAUGCCUAACACAUGCAAGUCGAACGGACAGAACAGGGAAGCUUUUCGGAGUGGAACUGGAAAGUUAGUGGCGGAUGGGUGAGUAACGCUUGGACAACCUACCUUGUAAAGGGGAAUAACCUCGAGAAAUCGAAGCUAAUACCCCAUAAUAACCUUGUUUCGCUUGAAGUAAGGUGGAAAGGCGGCCUUAGCGCUGUCGAUACAAGAUUGGUCCGCGUCUGAUUAGCUAGUUGGUGAGGUAAAGGCUCACCAAGGCGACGAUCAGUAGCCGGCCUGAGAGGGUGAACGGCCACAUUGGAACUGAGACACGGCCCAAACUCCUACGGGAGGCAGCAGUGGGGAAUCUUCCGCAAUGGGCGAAAGCCUGACGGAGCAAUGCCGCGUGAGUGAAGAAGGCCCUCGGGUUGUAAAACUCUGUCCUUAUCGAAGAGAGAGUGUUGUAGUAACUGACAAUACUAGGACGGUAGAUGAGGAGGAAGCCCCGGCUAACUACGUG